CCUACGGGGGGCUGCAGUGAGGAAUAUUGGUCAAUGGACGUAAGUCUGAACCAGCCAUGCCGCGUGCAGGAAGACGGCUCUAUGAGUUGUAAACCGCUUUUGUACGAGGGUAAACUCCGAUACGCGUACCUUUUUGUAAGUACCUUACGAAUAAGGAUCGGCUAACUCCGUGCCAGCAGCCGCGGUAAUACGGAGGAUCCAAGCGUUAUCCGGAUUUAUUGGGUUUAAAGGGUGCGUAGGCGGUCGGUUAAGUUAGCGGUGAAAUCCCGAGGCUCAACUUCGGAAUUGCCGCUGAUACUGUUCGGCUAGAGAGUAGUUGCGGUAGGCGGAAUGUAUGGUGUAGCGGUGAAAUGCUUAGAGAUCAUACAGAACACCGAUUGCGAAGGCAGCUUACCAAGCUACGUCUGACGUUGAGGCACGAAAGCGUGGGGAGCAAACAGGAUUAGAUACCCGGGUAGUC
rnacentral:rRNA from 1 species